rnacentral:rRNA from 1 species
CACCGCGGUUAUACGAGAGGCCCAAGUUGAUAGACGCCGGCGCAAAGAGUGGUUAGGUAACCUGACAAACUAAAGCCGAACGCCCCCAAGACUGUUAUACGUGCUCGGAGGUAUGAAGCCCAACUACGAAAGUGGCUUUAACUAUGUCUGAACCCACGAAAGCUGUGAAACAAACUGGGAUUAGAUACCCCACUAUGCUCAGCCCUAAACUUUGAUAGUUUUACCACACCCACUAUCCGCCCGGGUACUACGAGCUUUAGCUUAAAACCCAAAGGACUUGGCGGUGCUUAAGAUCCGUCUAGAGGAGCCUGUUCUAGAACCGAUACCCCACGUUUGACCUCACCCUCUCUUGUUUAAACCGCCUAUAUACCGCCGCCGUCAGCCCACCCUGCAAAGGUCUAGUAGUAGGCUAAAUUGGUAUGACCCAAAAUGCCAGGUCGAGGUGUAGCGCAUGAGAGGGAAAGCAAUGGGCUACAUUUCCUUACCAGGAAACACGGAUGAUAAAUUGAAACAAGCAAUCUGAAGGUGGAUUUAGCAGUAAAUGAAAGUCAGAAUAUUUCAUUGAAACCUCGGCUCUAAAGCACGCACAUACCGCCCGUCACUCUCCCCGAAAUAUAACCUUCCACGUAUAUAAACUCCUUACACAUGAUAAGGGGAGAAAAGUCGUAACAUGGUAAGUG